ACACACACACACACACACACACACACACACACACACAUACCCUUCUUAAACUGAAAGUUCUUCAUUGCCAAGGAGGAACCCAAGUAAUUCUUUGUUAGUGGAUUAUUCAGUGGAAGGAAACCUGCCAUGUUUACUGCCUUCAUCAGCUGGCCUAGACUGUUACUGUUUUUACUGAUAGCUGAUACAUGGAGGGCAUCAGUCAGAAGUGGUCUGAGCAUGCUAAUAACAGUAUGCGUCCAUUAACUCUAAUGUAGGAGAAUGUGUAAUGCCUGUUUUGGCAUAUUGUUCCUCAUAUAUAUUUGUGUGAAUUUAAUUUCCCUUUUGGGGCUCAAUUUUUAAUUUCUUCCCAUUCUACAAUAAGUACAUGUUUAUUUUUGCAAUAAAAUGUAAGUCUUUAAACACCAAGUAAGGUGUGACAUCACAUAUGAACAACACAUUUAAUUUUCGAAGAGUCUGGAAAAACAAACACCAUCCCUGUCAAGGAACAUUUGUACUUUUGCUGUCUAAGGCUAAGGUACUCUAGAAAGAAGUUCUCACUUUUCAGGUAGGAUAGUGCAGUAUGCCCUGUGUAAGGAUGGUGAUGCUUCCAGCAAGUGACGGUGUAUAGAAAGCUGGAGGUCUUAUUGUUUUUCUCCCAAAUAAAGCAGUUCACUGGUGCAGAGGCUAGACUACUACUCCUUACUGGUAGAAUCCUGUGUUAGGUGGGGACUGGGAUUCUUUAACAAGCAGGUUCCAAAAUGUGGGCUGCCUCUAACAAACAGAAUAUAAACCCAGGCUCAUUCAUGUCAGACUUCCUAGUACCUGUGGUCUGUGUGAUUCUUCUCUACCCAGGAACUCAGGGUCUGCCUCCAGUCACCUCUCUGUCCUGGAAGGCACUGCUGUGAUAUGAAGCCUGUUAAAAAGGGGAGGAGCAACUGUGGAGGGCCUAGAAGUGGAAUGCGGCUGCUAUCAUGCUACCCCCAGUCAAAUGACAUCUGUGCAGGAAACCAAGAAACGCAGCACAUGUGGGCUCCAGGAAGAAGAGGGAAGAGCUUAAGGGGAAGCAACCUGCAGUCUCUACUUCAGGUGCCUACCAUGUGCCAGGCAUAGCGCUAGUAAGAGAACUCCAGUCUAGUUAAUAGUGCACUAUUUUAUUUUAUUUUUACAGAUCAAUGUAGAGAGCACUAUUGCUAAGCAAUGGAAGAGAGCUAGUGAGAACACUAGUAUGCACUAGGAGAGCCUAACUCCACACACAGAGCAGGAGUAGUGGAUGGCCUUAGUUAUGUUAGUUUUAUACAUAUAUGUUUAUCGAGAAACUGCUAAGAGCCAGGCAUCUAUAAACAUACAGUUUGUUGGAGGCAGGUAGUAAGGCAUGACCCUAAGCCCUUAGAACCAUGGGCACUGUUUUAGUUUGGGUAUGAAACAUCCUCCUAAAAGACUCAUGUAUUUCAGGUUUGGACUACAGGCUGGUACAUCCAGCCUUUGAGGGGUGACUAUACCAUGAAGAGUCUUACCUAAACAAUGGGCUUAUCCACCGACAGGUUCAUGGUCUAAGACAUCGUUAGGAGUGAUGGAAAAGAAACUCUUAGAAAUGGCGCUGGAUUUGAAGAGGUAGCUUACUGGGGUGCAUUCUUGGAGGUGAUGUCUUGUUCUGGGUCCUCAUUGUCUCUCAGCUUCCUGGACAUUAUGAGUGUGCCAUGAAUGUUAACAGAGACUGGAGCAAGGCCUAACAUUGGGCUAAUGGCAACAAUUACUAACAGUGACCAACUAGAAGGAGAAUAGACGCGUCGUCACAAAAAGAAGCCAAUGAGAAUCUAGACGGAAUGAAAUGGGCAACAAUCCCCAAGCCACAGACUCAUUCAUCACCCAUCACAAGGAAGAAGCAACAGCUAGGGCGGUGGCCCUGGGGAGAACAGUGCUUCCCUGCUUCGAGAGUACGUCAUAAAAUGUAGGUGAAGGAAGGCAUAAAUGACCUGUUCUAAGAACGCAGGGGAAGGUCUCCCUCAACACAGCAUUCAUUGCAAUGAAAUUCAGGACAAACACUAUACUAUGCAUGAAGAUCACUGCCUGGAGACCCCAGCUCUUCAUUCCCGACGUCGUAUUUGAAAAUGGAACCUGAGGAAAGCGUGCUUUAUUCAUUUUGUUGUUUUCUGUGGUGCUCGCUCGGCUGCCCUGAAAGCCCACCACAGGAGAGCUCAAUUAGGAGGCUUCAUAAUUUUCACCGGUUAACUUUGAUUAAAUGCACUGUCUUGGAGGGGAAACUCAGCCAAUCCGGGCUAUAAAUUACCUGCAGUGAGUUUUCAACCUAGAGUUUCUGAAAUAUUAGCACCCGGACAGGUCAUUUCUUUCAGGGCUGGACUUUACACCUGAUUUGGAAUUCCGUACUUCAUUUUACCAGAGUCAAGAACUGAGGGCGAAACUGCCUGUAUUGCUCAGCCCAACAGGUCCCUCAAAGCACAUGUAGAAAAAUUCAUUCAUUCAUUCAUUCAUUCAUUCAUUCUGAUGUCUGCCACUGGCUGUAUCCAUUAGUGUAAGGGUGAAGUCCCUUUGACCCCGUCCCCCUCACUAGCUUCUAUUUAUUAUCUUACACCUCACAGUGUCUUCUGGCUCGUGAGCCAGAUUUCAGUCAGAUCAGUUGCCAAAGGUUAGACAAAGCGGGAUGAAAAGAACAGGUUCCCACUGAUGAAUGGUCAGCCAGCUUUCCAGACCAAGGACAAGGGAAAACCAAGGCUGUCUAGGCUCCCCACGAACCAACUAAGUGGUGAGGCCAUGGGAGAAGAGAUCUGGCUGCUUGCAUCUUUGUUGAGGGAAAGGCUGUGGGGGGAAGGGAGGGAAGAGUGUUUUAAGGGUGGGGCUGGGGAUUCAGUAAAAUCAGUUUUUAUCUGUAUUGUCAGUCUUAGAGAAUAACAAGGGUGUGUUUUCAUUUCCUGCUGUAAGAACUCCAAGCCUCUGUUUACCUUCCCUGUGAGACAGGGUUGCUGAAAGCAUUUUGGUUUUCUGGGCUUGGCAUAUGUAACCGUAAAGUCUUAGGCUUUUACGCUAUUGACAUUUUACUCAGUGGGGUCUCUGUUGUUUAAAAAAAAUAUGUCUGCUGAAUAAAAACAGCUUACAUUUUCAGGUAA